rnacentral:rRNA from 1 species
CAGCGCCGCGGUAAUACGUAGGGUGCAAGCGUUAAUCGGAAUUACUGGGCGUAAAGCGUGCGUAGGCGGUGAGUUAAGUCUGCUGUGAAAUCCCCGGGCUCAACCUGGGAAUGGCAGUGGAUACUGGCUCGCUAGAGUGUGUCAGAGGAUGGUGGAAUUCCCGGUGUAGCGGUGAAAUGCGUAGAGAUCGGGAGGAACAUCAGUGGCGAAGGCGGCCAUCUGGGACAACACUGACGCUGAGGCACGAAAGCGUGGGGAGCAAAUAGGAUUAGAUACCCCGGUAGUCCCUGUCUCUUAUACA